AUUAAAGGUAAAGCAAAAUGACUCAUGCCUGUGCAGGUAAAACAAUGUCUGCAAUUACCUUUGUCCUUCAAUAAGCAAAGGAAAAGGUCAAGCUGCCACUCAGGGACUCACAGAUUACCUUCCAGCCCAUUGCAGGAGAGGGAUGCUGUGCUGAUUGGAAAUUAGCUAUCUCUGGCCUUGAAGUCUCCAAAUAGCAAGGGUGAAACUUCAUCUUCUUUCCUCCCACACCUUUCCUUAUACGGCAAACAGCAACUUCCAGGUCCUGAAAGAAAGCACAUGGGAGCUCCUUCUUACCCCGUGUGAAGUGUUAUUUGUUUCCAAACUGUAAGCCACCAAGACAAAACUGAGAUCUGCAGGAGUAAUGACUGUCAGUGCCCCAUCUUUGCCACACAGGAGCUGUUUCCAGAGAGAGGAGAGGGGACUGAAGGGAUUGGCUCAGUUGUGAUAUUUGAUUUUCCACUUCUCGGAUGCAGAUGAGGUAAAAGGAAACAGCAUGAGGCUUCUCCCUUCCCUGGUCUACCAAAGCCUUCUCUUUGCUGGGGAAAGACUCCCUGUCAGAUUCCUUGCAAAUAGACCUUUGUUACAAAUCUUCUUGGGCCCAGAGGCACGUAACUGGGUGUAUUUGAUUCCCUUGGUUAAUAAAUAAACAGAGCCCUCCUGUGACAGACAGCCUUUCUGACUCCACACAGGGACACAGGGCUCCUCUCGGAGCAGGGAGCUGGAGCUGGAGCUGGGCAGGAAGGUGCUGUGCCAGCACAGGGAAAGGGGCACAUCACCAGCUUUGAGAACAUAAAGGAGGAGCUGGCCUGUCUGCUCAGAGCAAAAUAAAACAUACUUAUGGAAAUAGUAAGAAGGUUACAGCAGAGAAAACACCAGGGAGGGUCUAGUCUGAGAAGAUUGUUUAGGCUGAAAUACAGGUUUUUCUGUUUUAAAUUAGACCCCAGGUAGGGAGUACAGACACAGUGGAUCUCCAGUUUGAUGCAUCAUGAGCACAAUGUUGGUUUCUCACCUCUUCUCUGAGGUGUCUUACACACAAAGGAACUUAGCAAAGAACUAUCUUUGCUUGAGGUCUGUAAAACCAAAAACCAACUUGGCCUGACCAUCCCAAAGGUGGGUCAAAGCCAAAAGCUUUCAGCUAAAUGUCUCUUGCUUUCCAAGACUUGGUAGUCUGGGCACGAUAAAGCUGAGAUUUAAUUAAUCCUGAUGUUGGUUUUGAAAAAAAAAAUCCUGUUGAAUUUUGAUUCUGAAAAAAAACAGAGUUCCAAGGGUCUUUGGGAAAGAAAUUAACAACUGCUUAAAAUAGUGUAGCUUGAAGUCUGCUUUCCUCACAAAGUCUUCUGCAAUGUACUGCCAGUUUUGCAAGUCUGCAGUCCUACCAGGGAUGAUCGUCACCAAGUGAAAUUGAGCUUAGACUUCAGCAAUGGACUUUGUGGUUUCACUCCAGUCCCCACAGGAAACUUUCCUCCUCAAACCAUCCUGCUGUCUACCUUGGAGAGGCAGAGUCAGUAAAGCAGUGAAUGUUGCAGGUAGGAGUGAAACAGACUGGCAGAACAAUGUGGCUCCCACAGCUGCAAACACAGUCAAAUCUGAGAUAGAGAUGUUUUUGCAAGUCCGGAAUGGCAGAAGAUUUUGAAAUAUAAGUGCAUUGAAAUAAAUGUGUUAUACAAGGACAUAGCAGAUGCCAAUUCAGUGAGCAAACAAAAAAGCACAGCCCAUCCCUGUGUCAUUACAACUGCCUCAUUUAAAGGGCAGUUUUGACCAGAAUGACACAUUUGUGAGUCACACAAUGGGGAACAGGCUGUGACUUUGCUCAGAAAUCUACCUUGCUUUGGCUUCCUGUCAGCACGGCUGAAAGACCAAUACCUGUCAUGGCACAAUGUCCAUGUGUGGCAAGAGGGCCCCAGUUUAACCCCCUGCGUCCCUCAGGACCAGCUAAGCAUGCAGAAAACCACGCCUGCACACAGCCUCACUGCACACUCUGUAUGGGUGGUUGACAACAUGCACGUAGCCUUCAUGCAUGCAUAUUUUCUUGCAGUGUCUGAAACCAGACUGAUAAACACCUCUUCAAACUGGUACUCAGCUUCAUUCUCUGUUAUCCAAACAUUUCAUCAAAGGCCACUUACCUACAAAGCAGACAUCUCAACCCAAGCCAGACAAGCCACAUACCAAAAGCCUUUUGAAAACAAGGAACCAAACCUGACUUUAUUCGCUAAUAGUGAAGA